rnacentral:rRNA from 1 species
UACUACGGAGAGUUUGAUCCUGGCUCAGGACGAACGCUGGCGGCGUGCUUAACACAUGCAAGUCUACGAGAAAGAGGUAGCAAUAUCUUGAUUAAAGUGGCGCACGGGUGAGUAACACGUAAGCAAUCUACCCUUAGAUCUGGAAUAACUUCGAGAAAUCGUGGCUAAUACCAGGUAAUGCAGCGGCACCGCAUGGUGAUGUUGUUAAAGUUUCGAUGUCUAAGGAUGAGCUUGCGUCUGAUUAGCUAGUUGGUGAGGUAACGGCCCACCAAGGCU